GUCGAGCGAACUGAUUAGAAGCUUGCUUCUAUGACGUUAGCGGCGGACGGGUGAGUAACACGUGGGCAACCUGCCUGUAAGACUGGGAUAACUUCGGGAAACCGAAGCUAAUACCGGAUAGGAUCUUCUCCUUCAUGGGAGAUGAUUGAAAGAUGGUUUCGGCUAUCACUUACAGAUGGGCCCGCGGUGCAUUAGCUAGUUGGUGAGGUAACGGCUCACCAAGGCAACGAUGCAUAGCCGACCUGAGAGGGUGAUCGGCCACACUGGGACUGAGACACGGCCCAGACUCCUACGGGAGGCAGCAGUAGGGAAUCUUCCGCAAUGGACGAAAGUCUGACGGAGCAACGCCGCGUGAGUGAUGAAGGCUUUCGGGUCGUAAAACUCUGUUGUUAGGGAAGAACAAGUACGAGAGUAACUGCUCGUACCUUGACGGUACCUAACCAGAAAGCCACGGCUAACUACGUGCCAGCAGCCGCGGUAAUACGUAGGUGGCAAGCGUUA
rnacentral:rRNA from 2 species